rnacentral:tRNA from 1 species
CCCCGCGUAGUUUAGACUGGUAGAGCGCCUGGCUGUAGACCAGGAUGUCGCUGGUUCAAAUCCGGCCGCGGGGA